GAUGAACGCUGGCGGCGUGCCUAAUACAUGCAAGUCGAGCGAACAGACGAGGAGCUUGCUCCUCUGACGUUAGCGGCGGACGGGUGAGUAACACGUGGAUAACCUACCUAUAAGACUGGGAUAACUUCGGGAAACCGGAGCUAAUACCGGAUAAUAUAUUGAACCGCAUGGUUCAAUAGUGAAAGACGGUUUUGCUGUCACUUAUAGAUGGAUCCGCGCCGCAUUAGCUAGUUGGUAAGGUAACGGCUUACCAAGGCAACGAUGCGUAGCCGACCUGAGAGGGUGAUCGGCGACACUGGAACGGAGACACGGUCCAGACUCCUACGGGAGGCAGCAGUAGGGAAUCUUCCGCAAUGGGCGAAAGCCUGACGGAGCAACGCCGCGUGAGUGAUGAAGGUCUUCGGAUCGUAAAACUCUGUUAUGAGGGAAGAACAAAUGUGUAAGUAACUAUGCACGGCUUGACGGUACCUAAUCAGAAAGCCACGGCUAACUACGUG
rnacentral:rRNA from 1 species